AACGAACGCUGGCGGCAGGCUUAACACAUGCAAGUCGAACGCUCUCUUCGGAGAGAGUGGCAGACGGGUGAGUAACGCGUGGGAAUCUACCCAACCCUACGGAAUAACUCAGGGAAACUUGAGCUAAUACCGUAUACGCCCUUCGGGGGAAAGAUUUAUCGGGGUUGGAUGAGCCCGCGUUGGAUUAGCUAGUUGGUGAGGUAAAAGCUCACAAAGGCGACGAUCCAUAGCUGGUCUGAGAGGAUGAUCAGCCACACUGGGACUGAGACACGGCCCAG
rnacentral:rRNA from 1 species